rnacentral:rRNA from 1 species
GAAGAUAUUGGCUAUACAUGCAAGUCGAGCGAGCUGAACCAACAGAUUCACUUCGGUGAUGACGUUGGGAACGCGAGCGGCGGAUGGGUGAGUAACACGUGGGGAACCUGCCCCAUAGUCUGGGAUACCACUUGGAAACAGGUGCUAAUACCGGAUAAGAAAGCAGAUCGCAUGAUCAGCUUAUAAAAGGCGGCGUAAGCUGUCGCUAUGGGAUGGCCCCGCGGUGCAUUAGCUAGUUGGUAGGGUAACGGCCUACCAAGGCAAUGAUGCAUAGCCGAGUUGAGAGACUGAUCGGCCACAUUGGGACUGAGACACGGCCCAAACUCCUACGGGAGGCAGCAGUAGGGAAUCUUCCACAAUGGACGAAAGUCUGAUGGAGCAACGCCGCGUGAGUGAAGAAGGUUUUCGGAUCGUAAAGCUCUGUUGUUGGUGAAGAAGGAUAGAGGUAGUAACUGGCCUUUAUUUGACGGUAAUCAACCAGAAAGUCACGGCUAACUACGUGCCAGCAGCCGCGGUAAUACGUAGGUGGCAAGCGUUGUCCGGAUUUAUUGGGCGUAAAGCGAGCGCAGGCGGAAGAAUAAGUCUGAUGUGAAAGCCCUCGGCUUAACCGAGGAACUGCAUCGGAAACUGUUUUUCUUGAGUGCAGAAGAGGAGAGUGGAACUCCAUGUGUAGCGGUGGAAUGCGUAGAUAUAUGGAAGAACACCAGUGGCGAAGGCGGCUCUCUGGUCUGCAACUGACGCUGAGGCUCGAAAGCAUGGGUAGCGAACAGGAUUAGAUACCCUGGUAGUCCAUGCCGUAAACGAUGAGUGCUAAGUGUUGGGAGGUUUCCGCCUCUCAGUGCUGCAGCUAACGCAUUAAGCACUCCGCCUGGGGAGUACGACCGCAAGGUUGAAACUCAAAGGAAUUGACGGGGGCCCGCACAAGCGGUGGAGCAUGUGGUUUAAUUCGAAGCAACGCGAAGAACCUUACCAGGUCUUGACAUCUAGUGCAAUCCGUAGAGAUACGGAGUUCCCUUCGGGGACACU